GGUCAAUGCGGACACCUGAAAAGUCAAAGGCUGAUGCAGACGGGUUUUACGUGGGCGAUGAUUAUGGAUAUUUCCACUGGAAUGAAGAACAUGGCCAUUGGGAGAGGUGGACCCUAAACAACAACGAGUACAACUAUGAGUAUGCAGACAAGUAUGACC